UCGAACGCGUCUUGGUUAUUGAUGUUAAGUGCUUGCAUUUAAUUGACUUUACAUUGAGACGAGUGGCGAACUGGUGAGUAACACGUGGGUAACCUGCCCUUGAAGUAGGGGAUAACACUUGGAAACAGGUGCUAAUACCGUAUAACAACCAAAACCACCUGGUUUUGGUUUAAAAGAUGGCUUCGGCUAUCACUUUAGGAUGGACCCGCGGCGUAUUAGCUUGUUGGUAAGGUAACGGCCUACCAAGGCAAUGAUACGUAGCCGACCUGAGAGGGUAAUCGGCCACAUUGGGACUGAGACACGGCCCAAACUCCUACGGGAGGCAGCAGUAGGGAAUCUUCCACAAUGGACGAAAGUCUGAUGGAGCAACGCCGCGUGAGUGAUGAAGGGUUUCGGCUCGUAAAACUCUGUUGUUGGAGAAGAACAGGUGUGAGAGUAACUGUUCACAUCUUGACGGUAUCCAACCAGAAAGCCACGGCUAACUACGUGCCAGCAGCCGCGGUAAUACGUAGGUGGCAAGCGUUGUCCGGAUUUAUUGGGCGUAAAGCGAGCGCAGGCGGUUUCUUAGGUCUGAUGUGAAAGCCUUCGGCUUAACCGGAGAAGUGCAUCGGAAACCAGGAGACUUGAGUGCAGAAGAGGACAGUGGAACUCCAUGUGUAGCGGUGAAAUGCAUAGAUAUAUGGAAGAACACCAGUGGCGAAGGCGGCUGUCUGGUCUGUAACUGACGCUGAGGCUCGAAAGCAUGGGUAGCGAACAGGAUUAGAUACCCUGGUAGUCCAUGCCGUAAACGAUGAG
rnacentral:rRNA from 1 species